GUCCUGGUCCCAAAACGUAUUACUCAACGAUUCGGCAAAUGUACGUGAACACCAACUCGUGUGCUUUGCAACGCUCGCCUUCGGCUCGCGCUGCAAAAAUCACACUCGUUGGUAUUCACGCACUUUACCGAACAGUUAAGUAAUAUACUAUUUUUUUACGUUGUUCGGUAUUCAACGAUUCGUUGUUGCUGAGAAUAUCUGAAAAGUUAUAGGCCUACUAUUCUCAAGUGAGCAGACAUAAGCAAUUUGCCAGAUAAUGUUUUCAAUUCGUGGUACAGCUUUAAUCAUUUUUCUCGCGUGUUCAACACCUGCAUCUUUGGUUUCCGCGUUUAAAGUUUCUACCUUUGAAGAUGAUGAAUAGUAAGAGAAUAUAUUUUGGCAUGAUUGAAAAAAUGUACGGACAACAAUCAUUUUUUAAUCACGCGGAAUUCAGGACAUACUAACACAGCGUCGAAAGUAUUGCGACUCUUAUCAAAUUAUUAGAAUUCAGAAAAUUAUUCAAUUUUUAAAAACUCAAUUUGAAAUUACCUACUGCUGAAAAAUCUCCUACGUAAGUGAAAAUCAAAAUGCAAAUUAGAGGUGUUUUCAAAGACUGUAUUUUCUAUCUCGGUACCUAAGUAGUAACAUUUUCAAGAAUGAUGCGACAUUCAUCUGUUUUACUGAUAAUAUUGAUUGCAUAUUCAGCAUAUUCAUUUGGAGUGAUGAUCCCUUAUGAAAAUAAUUCUCAUCUCCAUUACUCCGCGAAAGAAAACAUAAGUAUUACUAAUUGUUCUGGUACAGAUGAAGUCACAUGGACAACUAGCUUUACGAUGAAAGGCAAUUACACAAUAAAUGUACAGACCCCAUACAGAAAAAUUUUUGAAAUAAAAAACGCUUCAGUUUUUAAUUCUGGAGCAUACGAAUGUGUUUCAACAAAGAACACAAAUGAAUUCAUGAGGAUUUUUCUUUUUCCUGAUGCUUCUUGUUUCCCAGAUAAUGGAACCCACAAUUAUUACAUAAUUUCAAUUUCAGACUCAGGGGAAGUUCAUGAGUCAAGUUAUGAUGGUGAUUCAUUAACUGUCACCUUUUCUUAACGAGACGCCGAACUGUAAUCAUCUAUUUUUCUAACUACCUAGGAAGGAAUCAUUAAAGUGCACUUGCUAAAAUAA